rnacentral:rRNA from 1 species
AUUGAACGCUGGCGGCAGGCCUAACACAUGCAAGUCGAACGAGUUGCGGACGGGUGAGUAAUGUCUGGGAAACUGCCUGAUGGAGGGGGAUAACUACUGGAAACUGUAGCUAAUACCGCAUACCCUCAGAUGUUCCCAGAUGGGAUUAGCUAGUUGGGGGGGUAACGGCUCAACAAGGCGAAGAUCCCUAGCUGGUCUGAGAGGAUGACCAGCCACAAUGGAACUGAGACACGGUCCAGACUCCUACGGGAGGCAGCAGUGGGGAAUAUUGCACAAUGGGCGCAAGCAUGAUGCAGCCAUGCCGCGUGUAUGAAGAAGGCCUUCGGGUUGUAAAGUACUGUCAGCGGGGAGGCGUUACCCGCAGAAGAAGCACCGGCUAACUCCGUGCCAGCAGCCGCGGUAAUUC